rnacentral:rRNA from 1 species
CCGCGUGUGUGAAGAAGGCCUUCGGGUUGUAAAGCACUUUUGUCCGGAAAGAAAUCCUUGGCUCUAAUACAGUCGGGGGAUGACGGUACUGGAAGAAUAAGCACCGGCUAACUACGUGCCAGCAGCCGCGGUAAUACGUAGGGUGCAAGCGUUAAUCGGAAUUACUGGGCGUAAAGCGUGCGCAGGCGGUUUGCUAAGACCGAUGUGAAAUCCCCGGGCUCAACCUGGGAACUGCAUUGGUGACUGGCAGGCUAGAGUAUGGCAGAGGGGGGUAGAAUUCCACGUGUAGCAGUGAAAUGCGUAGAGAUGUGGAGGAAUACCGAUGGCGAAGGCAGCCCCCUGGGCCAAUACUGACGCUCAUGCACGAAAGCGUGGGGAGCAAACAGGAUUAGAUACCCUGGUAGUCCACGCCCUAAACGAUGUCAACUAGUUGUUGGGGAUUCAUUUCCUUAGUAACGUAGCUAACGCGUGAAGUUGACCGCCUGGGGAGUACGGUCGCAAGAUUAAAACUCAAAGAAA